GAUGAAACUGCUGAAACUAUGGCCAGUCAUUAUUUGAAAAAUAAAAACAUGUUCUAGAACAAGGCAGAACAUGAAAGUAAACCAAACCUCGUUUCAUCAGAAAAGGAUCACAUUUCAUACCUGAGGAUAUUUUUCAAAUGGCAGUCCAACCACCUCCAUACAAACUUUUUAAUGUCAGACCUACUUUAACUCAAAGCAGAAAGGAUGCAUUUGUGUCAGCUUAUUGGCGGAGACUCUUCCCUGGACAGGUCAUCGGACCAAACCACUACUUGGAUCAGAUCUUUGCCUUGAUGUCUCACCAGCCAGAAUUUGCAGCCCUGCAGCUCUGCCCUUACUAUUUUGACCAUGUCACUUACAGCCUUCCUUCCAGAGGGCAAGUGAGGAACAAUGAAAGCUGCAACCUCAGGCUGGACUGUUUCGACUCAUGGGCAGGCUUACAACUAGAGAAGCAGAGAGAUGCUGAGCAACUACAAAGACAACAUCCGACAGCUAACAGAGAUCCUUGGCUCAACACUGGCAUCUACUUAAAUCGGCUCCGUCAACUCCAGGACCUGCACCCUGGCAAGGGUAUAUCCACAAAGCAGUAUAUUUAUCUGAUGUAUGGCGUCUCCCUGUAACUGCCAACAAUGGGAUGUUUUUGUCUUAAAGUUGUCACUAAAUGAAUCUUUUUGAUGUAUAUUAACAUUUAACAUGAGUGAUGUUUUAAAAAACAGCUUAAAGAACAAUCAUGUUUAUUUCAGAAAAUUAUUUUUUAGGCUGCCAAUUUCAAGGACAUUUUAUCUGUGUAAGAAGUAAAUUUUAUUCUUGAAGGAUCAAUUUAAAUCCUCAAAUUGUGUAAUUGCUCAAUCAAUAUACAAAAGUAAUCCCACUGA